rnacentral:rRNA from 1 species
UACAGAGGUCUCAAGCGUUGUUCGGAUUCAUUGGGCGUAAAGGGUGCGUAGGCGGCGCGGUAAGUCGGGGUGUGAAAUCUCGGAGCUUAACUCCGAAACUGCAUUCGAUACUGCCGUGCUUGAGGACUGGAGAGGAGACUGGAAUUUACGGUGUAGCGGUGAAAUGCGUAGAUAUCGUAAGGAAGACCAGUGGCGAAGGCGGGUCUCUGGACAGUUCCUGACGCUGAGGCACGAAGGUCAGGGG